UACGUAGGGCGCGAGCGUUGUCCGGAAUUAUUGGGCGUAAAGAGCUCGUAGGCGGCCUGUCGCGUCGGUUGUGAAAGCCCGGGGCUCAACCCCGGGUCUGCAGUCAAUACGGGCAGGCUAGAGUUCGGUAGGGGAGAUCGGAAUUCCUGGUGUAGCGGUGAAAUGCGCAGAUAUCAGGAGGAACACCGGUGGCGAAGGCGGAUCUCUGGGCCGAUACUGACGCUGAGGAGCGAAAGCGUGGGGAGCGAACAGG
rnacentral:rRNA from 1 species